UCUUGGUCAUUUAGAGGAAGUAAAAGUCGUAACAAGUCUCCGUAGGUGAACCUGCGGAGGGAUCAUUACCGAGUUCAUGCCCUUCGGGUAGAUCUCCCACCCUAUGCUAUUAUUACCUUUGUUGCUUUGGCGGCCGUCAGGCUUCGGUCCGGCUACCGGCUCAGGCUGGUAAGUGCCCGCCAAGGACCCUCAACUCUGAAUAUCAGUGUCGUCUGAGUACUAUAAAGUAGUAAAACUUUCAACAACGGAUCUCUUGGUUCUGGCAUCGAUGAAGAACGCACGAAAUGCGAUAAGUAAUGUGAAUUGCAGAAUUCAGUGAAUCAUCGAAUUUUGAACGCACAUUGCGCCCCUUGGUAUUCCGAGGGGCAUGCCUGUUCGGCGUCAUUACAACCCUCAAGCACUGCUUGGUAUUGGGCUCCGCUGGUCUAGCGGGCCUUAAAAUCAGUGGCGGCGCCGUCUGGGCUCUGAGCGUAGUAAUAUCCUCGCUAUAGAGACCGGGCGGUUCUUGUUAUCAACCCCCAACUUCUAAGUUUGACCUCGGAUCAGGUAGGGAUACCCGCUGAACUUAAGCAUACAAUAAGCGGAGGA
rnacentral:rRNA from 1 species